rnacentral:rRNA from 1 species
GACGAACGCUGGCGGCGUGCCUAACACAUGCAAGUCGAACGGAAAGGCCCUGCUCGUAGGGUACUCGAGUGGCGAACGGGUGAGUAACUCGCGGGUGGGCUGCCCUCCACUUCGGGAUAAGCCAGGGAAACUGGGUCUAGCUCCUGCCAGGUGCCAACUUUAGUGUGAUGGUUGGAAAGUUUAUUAGGUGUUGGCUGAGCUCGCGGCCUAUCGGCUUGUUGGUUGGGUAAUGGCCUACCAAGGCGGCGACGGGUAGCCGGCCUGAGAGGGUGGACGGCCACAUUGGGACUGAGAGACGGACCAGAAUCGUACGGGAGGCAGUGGUGGGGAGUCUGGCCCAAUGAGCGCGAGCCAGAUGCGGAGGCGCCGCGAGGGGGAAGACGUGCUUCGGGUUGAAAACUCCUUUCGCUGGGGACGAAGCAUUUUGUGACGGUACCUAGAUAAGAAGCACCGGCUAACUACGUG